UUUCAAUUGAAUGUUUAUCGUGAGAAAGGUUUGCCUGUAAGUAUUUGACGCUAAUAAUACAUCUGCUGAUUAAGUGGGCUGUCUACCAUGGGGCCCGGCUGAGCAUCCACAGAACUCAACAGUCCAGCCAGCGACCACGUGACUGCAGAUCCUGCUCCGAUCCGCCUGACUGACUUCCACUAAAAUUCAACUGGCACCACAUUCUACCAACGUAACCCGGAGACCGCCCCCCCGCCCGCCCCCCCCCCGUACCGACAAAGACGAGGGAUGAAAGCAGAGCUCACAGUUUAAAGGCACGUUCGCAUUCCUCGCGACUGCGUAGAAGGUUCAACUAACGAAGACCUGUCCUCCUACCUCUCUGGCCAACCUCUCCUUCCGCUCCUGGACCUUGUGCAGCAGGUCCUUCUGUUGAGGGGACAGCUUGAAGGUGGCCUGGCUGGGCGUCCCGGUGGCCGACUGCACCCGACGUCUGGUGCCCCUCCUGUGGACGCCAGUCUGGGUGUGGCAGGCGGAGCUGGGCCUUCCUCCGGGUGGGGCCGGAGGUCUCGGCACCCGGUGGGGAUCAACUUUGUGGCCGGCAGAAGAAGAAGAUCCGGCGUGAGAAAGCGGCGAGGAGCAGGACCCGAGGCUCUUCCCGUUGUGCGCGAUAGGAGGAAGGAGGACCUGGUUUUCAACCUCUUUCAGGCUGACAAGAUCGAACCUGCCAUCUUUCUCCACAAGAACCCGUCCCUCUUUGAGGCCUUCUUCUCCAGGGGACAGCUUGAGCUCGGAGAGCUUGCCUGAAACCUCCGUCUCCGCAUCUUUGCUGGCAUCUCCUCUAUCCGCUUGGUCACCGUUUCCAAACUGCAACGGAGGCACCACCAAGGUCACCAGCGUCUCCUUGAACUGCAGCCGCCUCCUCCGACUCAAAUCUGGAGCGUCUUGAUCCUUCAGCUGUCGGUUGGCUUGUUGGAUCUUCUCCAGGAUGUACUUUUUCUCCUCAUCGGUCUGCGCCUCCACGCCCAACGCCAAGGACUUACCAGGACCGUCUCCGUCUGAGUCGUACUCCAGUGGUUCCAUAGGUGAGGGCCACCUGUCUUCAUCCUCCUCCAGGUCUUCUGUUUGCUUGCUUCUCUCCUCCCCUUGAUGGUGGUUCUUCUUACCUUUCAUGCGAUGGUGUUUCUCAUCCUCUGCCAGCUCUUUGUCAAUGUCUGCCUCGAUGUCCUCGUAGUCAGGACCCUGCGUGGUCAAAGGAUGCCUUUGUUUUAGGGCUCCCAAGUCCAGACCUUUGAAAUCCACCUUUCCCCCAUUACAUAAUGACUAGAUAGGACAGCACGACUUUAGUCUAUGUAGUCAUGCUCAAAGACUAGAUGCAGGCUAUGUCAGUUCAUGCUCAAAUACUAGGUAGGACAGAUCUAGUCCCGUCCUAGGUUCACCUAUUUAGUCAUGGUAAAAUACUAGAUAGGACAGCCCUUGUCUAGUCGUCGUCUAUUUAGUCUUUAGUGCAGGCUACAUCAGUUCAUGCUCAAAUAUUAGGUAGGACAGAUCUAGUCUCAACCUAAAUGUAUUUAGUCAUGGUAAAAUACUAGAUAGGACAGCCCUCGUCUAGUCCUAGUCUAUUUAGUCUUUAGUGCAGGCUACAUCAGUUCAUGCUCAAAUACUAGGUAGGACAGAUCUAGUCCCGUCCUAGGUUCAUCUAUUUAGUCAUGGUAAAAUACUAGAUAGGACAGCCCUUGUCUAGUCGUCGUCUAUUUAGUCUUUAGUGCAGGCUACAUCAGAUACUCAAAUACUAGGUAGGACAGAUCUAGUCUCGUCCUAGGUUAAUGUAUUUAGUCAUGGUAAAAUACUAGAUAGGACAGCCCUCGUCUAGUCCUAGUCUAUUUAGUCUUUAGUGCAGGCUACAUCAGAUACUCAAAUACUAGGUAGGAAAGAUCUAGUCUCAACCUAGGUUAAUGUAUUUAGUCAUGGUAAAAUGCUAGAUAGGACAGCCCUCGUCUAGUCGUCAUCUAUUUAGUCAUUAGUGCAGGCUACAUCAGUUCAUGCUCAAAUACUAGGUAGGACAGAUCUAGUCUCGUCCUAGAUUAAUGUAUUUAGUCAUGGUAAAAUACUAGAUAGGACAGCCCUCGUCUAGUCCUAGUCUAGUUAGUCUUUAGUGCAGGCUACAUCAGUUCAUGCUCAAAUACUAGGUAGGACAGAUCUAGUCUCGUCCUAGGUUCAUCUAUUUAGUCAUGGUAAAAUGCUAGAUAGGACAGCCCUCGUCUAGUCCUAGUCUAGUUAGUCUUUAGUGCAGGCUACAUCAGUUCAUGCUCAAAUACUAGGUAGGACAGAUCUAGUCCCGUCCUAGGUUCAUCUAUUUAGUCAUGGUAAAAUACUAGAUAGGACAGCCCUUGUCUAGUCGUCGUCUAUUUAGUCUUUAGUGCAGGCUACAUCAGUUCAUGCUCAAAUACUAGGUAGGACAGAUCUAGUCCCGUCCUAGGUUCAUCUAUUUAGUCAUGGUAAAAUACUAGCUAGGACAGCCCUUGUCUAGUCGUCGUGUAUUUAGUCUUUAGUGCAGGCUACAUCAGUUUAUGCUCAAAUACUCGGUAGGACAGAUCUAGUCCCGUCCUAGGUUAAUCUAUUUAGUCAUGGUAAAAUACUAGAUAGGACAACCCUCGUCUAGUCCGAGUCUAUUUAGUCUUUAGUGCAGGCUACAUCAGAUACUCAAAUACUAGGUAGGACAGAUCUAGUCUCGUCCAAGGUUAAUGUAUUUAGUCAUGGUAAAAUGCUAGAUAGGACAGCCCUCGUCUAGUCCUAGUCUAUUUAGUCUUUAGUGCAGGCUACAUCAGUUCAUGCUCAAAUACUAGGUAGGACAGAUCUAGUCCCGUCCUAGGUUAAUCUAUUUAGUCAUGGUAAAAUACUAGAUAGGACAGCCCUCGUCUACUCCUAGUCUAGUUAGUCUUCAGUGCGGGCUACAUCAGUUCAUGCUCAAAUACUAGGUAGGACAGAUCUAGUCUCGUCCUAGGUUAAUCUAUUUAGUCAUGGUAAAAUACUAGAUAGGACAGCCCUCGUCUAGUCCGAGUCUAUUUAGUCUUUAGUGCAGGCUACAUCAGAUACUCUAAUACUAGGUAGGACAGAUCUAGUCUCGUCCAAGGUUAAUGUAUUUAGUCAUGGUAAAAUACUAGAUAGGACAGCCCUCGUCUAGUCCUAGUCGAUUUAGUCUUUAGUGCAGGCUACAUCAGAUACUCAAAUACUAGGUAGGACAGAUCUAGUCUCGUCCAAGGUUAAUGUAUUUAGUCAUGGUAAAAUACUAGAUAGGACAGCCCUCGUCUAGUCCUAGUCUAUUUAGUCUUUAGUGCAGGCUACAUCAGUUCAUGCUGAAAUACUAGAUAGGACAGAUCUAUUGUAGUCUUAGGUUAUUCUAUCUAGUCAACUCCAACAGUCCUAUCCAGUAUUUUAGCAUUAGUCCUAGUGUCAUCUAUGUAGCUUUUAUUGCACGCUACAUCAGUUGAUGCUGAAAGACUUUCCCUCACCUGCUCCUCGCUCCGACUUUCCUCACUGAUCAGCCAGUCUAGAUCUUUCUCAAAGUCAUCCUCGUACUCCUCCUGGGUCUUGGACCAAUCCGCUUCACUCAUCAUCUGCCGCAAGACCACAUCCACAUCCAGGAGCGUGUUUGAGUUAGGCGAGCAAGAACCUCCAGCUAGCUUGCUAGCUAGCUAGCUCGCUAUCGAGAUCAUCAACUCAAUUCAAAUGAAAUCAAUUCAGUCAAUAAAAUACAAAUACAUGGAACAUAAAAUAAAUAAUACACUGUAAAUAUAUUAUUCAUUAAAUAUAUUGUUUAUUACUUAACAUAAUUUUAAUUAUCGUGAACAUUUUGUUUUUUAAUGACUAUAAUAGUACAUAAAAAUAAUAUAACAAUGUAUAAAAGAAGGUUAAAUUAAUUCAUUAAUAUAGUCAAAACAAAUAAAUAAAAAAUACCAUAUUAACUAAAUGAAAUAUAUUAUAAACUACAUUAAUUAACAUUAUUUAAAUUAGUUAGAUUGUGUUUUUUAAUAUUUUUUCAGCACCGAUAUUAUAAAUGAAAAUUUGACAUACUUACAUUAUUCAUGGAUAUAAUAUCAACGAAAUAC